AGGAUCAACGCUGGCGGCGUGCCUAACACAUGCAAGUCGAACGAGAAAGUGGAGCAAUCCAUGAGUAAAGUGGCGACCGGGUGAGUAACACGUGACUAACCUACCUUCGAGUGGGGGAUAACCUCGGGAAACCGAGGCUAAUACCGCAUAACAUCGCAAGAUCAAAGCAGCAAUGCGCUGGAAGAGGGGGUCGCGGCUGAUUAGCUAGUUGGCGGGGUAACGGCCCACCAAGGCGAAGAUCGGUA
rnacentral:rRNA from 1 species